rnacentral:rRNA from 1 species
AUUGAACGCUGGCGGCAGGCCUAACACAUGCAAGUCGAGCGGAUGAAGGGAGCUUGCUCCUGGAUUCAGCGGCGGACGGGUGAGUAAUGCCUAGGAAUCUGCCUGGUAGUGGGGGAUAACGUCCGGAAACGGGCGCUAAUACCGCAUACGUCCUGAGGGAGAAAGUGGGGGAUCUUCGGACCUCACGCUAUCAGAUGAGCCUAGGUCGGAUUAGCUAGUUGGUGGGGUAAAGGCCUACCAAGGCGACGAUCCGUAACUGGUCUGAGAGGAUGAUCAGUCACACUGGAACUGAGACACGGUCCAGACUCCUACGGGAGGCGGCAGUGGGGAAUAUUGGACAAUGGGCGAAAGCCUGAUCCAGCCAUGCCGCGUGUGUGAAGAAGGUCUUCGGAUUGUAAAGCACUUUAAGUUGGGAGGAAGGGCGGUAAGUUAAUACCUUGCUGUUUUGACGUUACCAACAGAAUAAGCACCGGCUAACUUCGUG